rnacentral:lncRNA from 1 species
AAAGUAAAAGAGACACUGCCGCAUGUACAAGGGUAAAUCCUUACUGAUCCUGGACAAGGGGUAAGACCAAAACUGUUCUUGGUCACGAUUGAGCUGCUGAAGUGCAUUGGACCACUCCUCAAUGGUUAGACCCUUCUGUGACAACAUAUUUGCUAAUUUUACAAUUAGCAUUGGCAACCCUCCACAUGUUCUCACAAUUUCCUUUCUAAGCGUUUGCAGUUGUUGGGGUAUGUUUACCUUCAAAGCAUGAGUGAACAAUGUCCAGCUCUCAUCGUUUCCUCGUAAUCGAACUGCAUGAUGAACACUCC